rnacentral:rRNA from 1 species
UACGGGGGGGGCAAGCGUUGUUCGGAAUUACUGGGCGUAAAGGGCUCGUAGGCGGCCAACUAAGUCAGACGUGAAAUCCCUCGGCUUAACCGGGGAACUGCAUCUGAUACUGGAUGGCUUGAGUUCGGGAGAGGGAUGCGGAAUUCCAGGUGUAGCGGUGAAAUGCGUAGAUAUUGGGAGGAACACCAGUGGCGAAGGCGGCUCACUGGACCGGAACUGACGCUGAGGCGCGAAAGCGUGGGGAGCAAACGGG